ACGGAAUUUGGCAGAGAUGCCUUAGUGCCUUCGGGAACCGUGAGACAGGUGCUGCAUGGCUGUCGUCAGCUCGUGUUGUGAAAUGUUGGGUUAAGUCCCGCAACGAGCGCAACCCUUAUCCUUUGUUGCCAGCGAUUCGGUCGGGAACUCAAAGGAGACUGCCGGUGAUAAACCGGAGGAAGGUGGGGAUGACGUCAAGUCAUCAUGGCCCUUACGGCCAGGGCUACACACGUGCUACAAUGGCGCAUACAAAGAGAAGCGACCUCGCGAGAGCAAGCGGACCUCAUAAAGUGCGUCGUAGUCCGGAUUGGAGUCUGCAACUCGACUCCAUGAAGUCGGAAUCGCUAGUAAUCGUAGAUCAGAAUGCUACGGUGAAUACGUUCCCGGGCCUUGUACACACCGCCCGUCACACCAUGGGAGUGGGUUGCAAAAGAAGUAGGUAGCUUAACCUUCGGGAGGGCGCUUACCACUUUGUGAUUCAUGACUGGGGUGAAGUCGUAACAAGGUAAGCGUAGAUGA
rnacentral:rRNA from 1 species